GGGGGGCACCGGGGCUGCCCCCGGACCCCGCCCGCCGCCCCCACGGGCACCGCGGAGGGGUCAGCCCGGCCCGGAGCUCGUCCCGGGUGUGUGACCCCCCCGGGGACAUCCCUGUCCCUGAAUUGUGGCAGGUCUGUGACCCCCCCGGGGACAUCCCUGUCCCCAUCCUUGUCCCAGGUGUGUGACCCCCCCGGGGACAUCCCUGUCCCCAUCCUUGUCCCAGGUGUGUGACACCCCCAGGAUCAGCCCUGUCCCCAUCUUUAUCCCAGGUGUGUGACACUCCCGGGGUCAUCCCUGUCCCCAUCCUUGUCCCAGGUGUGUGACACCCCCAGGGUCACCCCUGUCCCCAUCUUUAUCCCAGGUGUGUGACACCCCCGGGGUCACCCCUGUCCCCAGUUUUGUCCCAGGUGUGUGACACCCCCGGGGACAUCCCUGUCCCCAUCCUUGUCCCAGGUGUGUGACCCAUCCCGGUCCCCCUGCCAGAGACAGCCCUGUCCCCAUCUCCAUCCACGUGUGCCACCCCUCCUGUUGCCCCACCAGGGACCCUGUCCCCACUCUUGUCCCAGGAGCUGCGCAGCGGCCGCUUCUGGCGGGGGGUGCUGGCGGAGCUGACGGCGACCCUCAUCUUCGUGGGGGUGGUCCUGGGGGCUUCGGCAGCCCCCGGGCCACUGGCACCGGCGCUGGCCGGGGGGGUUGGUGGCCGGGGGGCUCGUCUGCACCCUCGGGGGUCCCCAGGCCAACCCCGCGCUGACGCUGGCCCUGCUGUGCACCCGCAAGAUGAGCGCCCUGCGCGGGGUCGUGGGGGUCCUGGCCCAGUGCACGGGGGCCACACUGGCCUCUGCUGCUGCCCGAGCCACGCUGCUGGAUGACAGCAGCCUUGUCACCAGGGUGAGUGACCCCCAUCGCCAUCACCAGGGUGAGUGACCCCCAUCCCCAUCCCUGUCACCUGGCACUGCACAGGUGUCCCUCCCGCAGGUGAGCGCGGUGGGGACAGCGGGGACAGCGCUGGCCUGGGAGACCUUUGCCACCUUCCAGCUGGCACUGGCCGCCUUCGCCGCCGCCGAGCACGCGGCCCCGCAGGCCGGGCUGGCCCUGGGCAGCGCCGUGGCCGCCGGUGCCUUGGCCGCAGUAAGGACCCCCCGUGUCCCACCCACUCAGGGGGUCCCCACUCCAGCAGCCCCUGACCCCCCCCUGUGUCCCACAGG
rnacentral:lncRNA from 1 species